rnacentral:rRNA from 1 species
AGUAAUACAUAAGUAACCUGCCCUAGACAGGGGGAUAACUAUUGGAAACGAUAGCUAAGGCCGCAUAGGUACGGACACUGCAUGGUGACCGUAUUAAAAGUGCCUCAAAGCACUGGUAGAGGAUGGACUUAUGGCGCAUUAGCUGGUUGGCGGGGUAACGGCCCACCAAGGCGACGAUGCGUAGCCGACCUGAGAGGGUGACCGGCCACACUGGGACUGAGACACGGCCCAG